rnacentral:rRNA from 1 species
UACGUAGGGGCAAGCGUUGUCCGGAAUCAUUGGGCGUAAAGAGCGUGUAGGCGCCAGAAAAGUCCGCUGUGAAAACUCGAGGCUCAACUUCGAGCUGUCGGUGGAAACUUUCUGGCUAGAGUCCGGAAGAGGAGAAUGGAAUUCCUGGUGUAGCGGUGAAAUGCGCAGAUAUCAGGAAGAACACCCGUGGCGAAGGCGGUUCUCUGGGACGGUACUGACGCUGAGGCGCGAAAGCGUGGGGAGC